rnacentral:lncRNA from 10 species
CAGACCCUAGUAAUCACCAUUCCACUCUCUACUUCUAUGAGUUUGACUAAGAUUCCACAUGGCACAUACAGAGGAAAAGACAUGUGGGGACAUAAUGAGAGGACAGCCAUCUGCAAGCCAAGAAGAGAAUCCUCACCAGAAACCAACUUGACUGGAAUCUUGAUCUUGAACUUCUUGCUUCCAGAAUUAUGAGAAAAUAAAUUGUUGUUUAACCCACA